rnacentral:miRNA from 1 species
UUGGGCUGACCAAAAAGUUUAUUUGGGUUUUCCCAAAACAUCUUACAGAAAAACCUGAAUGAACUUUUUGGCUGACCCAA